rnacentral:rRNA from 1 species
AGGACAAACGCUGGCGGCGUACUUAAGACAUGCAAGUCGAACGGGCGCUUCACCUUCGGGUGGGUGUGCUAGUGGCGGACGGGUGAGUAACGCGUAGGAACCUGUCAUCAAGAGGGGGAUAACGCUGGGAAACCGGCGCUAAUACCGCAUGUGGUCAUGAAAAUGAAGAAAGCAGCAAUGCGCUUGAUGAGGGGCCUGCGUCCGAUUAGCUUGUUGGUGGGGUAAAGCCUACCAAGGCAUCGAUCGGUAGCUGGUCUGAGAGGAUGGUCAGCCACACUGGGACUGAGACACGGCCCAGACUCCUACGGGAGGCAGCAGUUAGGAAAUUUUCCCAAUGGGCGCAAGCCUGAGGGAGUAACGCCGCGUGGAGGAUGACGGCUUUCGGGUUGUAAACUCCUUUCUGUGGAGAGUAGAAGACGGUACCGCAGGAAUAAGCCUCGGCUAACUACGCGCCAGCAGCCGC